AGAUCUGGUCCGGGGUCACCGGAAAACGGGUGAUUUUCACGUGAGUAACCUGCCCUUAACUCUGGGAUAAGCCUGGGAAACUGGGUCUAAUACCGGAUAUGACUCCUCAUCGCAUGGUGGGGGGUGGAAAGCUUUUGUGGUUUUGGAUGGACUCGCGGCCUAUCAGCUUGUUGGUGAGGUAAUGGCUCACCAAGGCGACGACGGGUAGCCGGCCUGAGAGGGUGACCGGCCACACUGGGACUGAGACACGGCCCAGACUCCUACGGGAGGCAGCAGUGGGGAAUAUUGCACAAUGGGCGGAAGCCUGAUGCAGCGACGCCGCGUGAGGGAUGACGGCCUUCGGGUUGUAAACCUCUUUCAGUAGGGAAGAAGCGAAAGUGACGGUACCUGCAGAAGAAGCGCCGGCUAACUACGUGCCAGCAGCCGCGGUAAUACGUAGGGCGCAAGCGUUAUCCGGAAUUAUUGGGCGUAAAGAGCUCGUAGGCGGUUUGUCGCGUCUGCCGUGAAAGUCCGGGGCUCAAC
rnacentral:rRNA from 2 species